GGUUCCGUGGUGUAGUGGUAAUAACGUUCGCUUUACACGCGAAAGGUCCCCUGUUCGAUCCCGGGCGGAACCA
rnacentral:tRNA from 1 species